GAUGAACGCUAGCUACAGGCUUAACACAUGCAAGUCGAGGGACCGGCGCACGGGUGAGUAACACGUGUCCAACCUGCCCUUUACUCGGGGAUAGCCUUUCGCAAGAAAGAUUAAUAACCGAUGACAAGGAUGGGGAUGCGUGCCAUUAGGUUGUGGGUGAGGUAACGGCUCACCAAGCCUUCGAUGGAUAGGGGUGCUGAGAGGAAGGUUCCCCACAUGUGAACUGAGACACGGCCCAAACUACUACGGGAGGCUGCAGUGAGGAAUAUUGGUCAAUGGGCGUUAGCCUGAACCAGCCAAGUAGCGGUAAGGAUGAAGGCUUAUGGGUCGUAAACCUCUUUUAUAUAAGAAUAUUUAUUAUAUGAAUAAUGAUCGGCUAACUCCGUUCCAGCAGCCGCGGUAAUUC
rnacentral:rRNA from 1 species